AACGAACGCCGGCGGCAUGCCUAACACAUGCAAGUCGAACGAAGCCUUCGGGCUUAGUGGCGCACGGGUGCGUAACGCGUGGGAAUCUGCCCUUGGGUUCGGAAUAACAGUUAGAAAUGACUGCUAAUACCGGAUGAUGUCUUCGGACCAAAGAUUUAUCGCCCAAGGAUGGGCCCGCGUAGGAUUAGGUAGUUGGUGGGGUAAUGGCCCACCAAGCCGACGAUCCUUAGCUGGUCUGAGAGGAUGAUCAGCCACACUGGGACUGAGACACGGCCCAGACUCCUACGGGAGGCAGCAGUGGGGAAUAUUGGACAAUGGGCGAAAGCCUGAUCCAGCAAUGCCGCGUGAGUGAUGAAGGCCUUAGGGUUGUAAAGCUCUUUUACCAGGGAUGAUAAUGACAGUACCUGGAGAAUAAGCUCCGGCUAACUCCGUGCCAGCCGCCGCGGUAA
rnacentral:rRNA from 1 species